rnacentral:rRNA from 1 species
UACGAAGGGGCUAGGCGUUGUUCGGAAUUACUGGGCGUAAAGGGCGCGUAGGCUGUGCUGUAAGUCAGGCGUGAAAGCCCCGGGCUCAACCUGGGAAUUGCGCUUGAUACGUGCGGCGCUGGAAGGUGGGAGAGGAUGGCGGAAUUCCCAGUGUAGAGGUGAAAUUCGUAGAUAUUGGGAAGAACACCGGUGGCGAAGGCGGCCAUCUGGCCCACAAUUGA